GACACCCAGGCAGCACAGCAGGAGGGGAGCCCUUUGGCCUGCUGCCCUCCUGCCCACCCCCAAGCCCACCCCAAAUCAUGCAUGCGCCCAGAAACCCUGACCUGCACCACAAAGGCAGCAGCAGCAGCACCAGCAGCAAGGAACACCAGGCCUGUGGGCGCAGCUGGCCUACAGCAGGGGACGGCCCUUUGGCCACUUCCCGGAUGCUCUCCUGCUCUCCACCCUCCCAACCUCUUGCACACCCCCAGCCUCAGCGCUGCAGGAAAAAGAGACAACCUCACGGCUCCGGGAGGCCCGCACUCGCAGCAACAGCCACACCACAGCUGCAGUAAGCAACACCGCUUUAGCCACCCCUGCCAAACACGGUGCUAGGCCAGCUGCCACUAACAAGAGUCAACUCCGUCCCAGCCAGAGCAAGUCCGCAGAGGCAGUGGCACCUAGCCCACCCUGGGCAGAAGGCAAGAUGCAGGAUGCCGAAAAACCAAGAGAAUCAAGCCCUGUUCACUUGUCCUCACCACUAGCAGGACCCUGGCUGUGACUCCAGAUGAUUUGUGCGCUUACCGUCUGUCACCCUCCUCAAGUGACCAGUGUGGCCAAGUCUCUGUACGGAUCCCUGGGGGACUGUGCCCUGGAAGGAGUCCAGUCCAGCAGCACCAACGGGCACGUUCAAACGCAGCUUGCGACAAGGCCCUUCCUCUGCUUAGGAGCGCCGUCCUCCGGGCUUGCCUCUGCAGAUGUCUUUUGCUCAACAGUGCCCAUCCUUGGCAGAACCUUUGGCUUCUGCUUCUCACCUAGGCGUCGAAAGAGAAGCUUUGAAUCUUAGAGAGCGAGACUAGAGAAGCUCUUCAGGAUACCUACAAUGUGACCACGUGCUGGCAGGAGUGGUUCAUCGAGGCUCUGCUCAUCUCAGUGACCCAUUCAUAUUACAGGACAAAGCCCCUUUCUCGCUGACAGAAUGGAGAACGUGCUGAUGAAGCAAAGGGGAGAAAUGGAUGGGCUACAAAG